CGAUGCAUCAUUCAAAUAUCUGCCCUAUCAACUUUCGAUGGUAGGAUAGUGGCCUACCAUGGUUUUAACGGGUAACGGGGAAUAAGGGUUCGAUUCCGGAGAAGGGAGCCUGAGAAACGGCUACCACAUCCAAGGAAGGCAGCAGGCGCGCAAAUUACCCAAUCCCAAUUCGGGGAGGUAGUGACAAUAAAUAACAAUAUAGGGCUCUUUUGGGUCUUAUAAUUGGAAUGAGUACAAUUUAAAUCACUUAACGAGGAACAAUUGGAGGGCAAGUCUGGUGCCAGCAGCCGCGGUAAUUCCAGCUCCAAUAGCGUAUAUUAAAGUUGUUGCAGUUAAAAAGCUCGUAGUUGAAAUUUGGGCCUGGACGGGCGGUCCGCCGCAAGGCGUUGUACUGUCUGGCUGGGUCUUUCCUCUUGGUGAAUCGGCGUGUCCUUCACUGGGUGCGUCGGGGAACCAGGACAUUUACCUUGAGAAAAUUAGAGUGUUCAAAGCAGGCAGUUUUGCCCAAAUACAUUAGCAUGGAAUAAUGAAA
rnacentral:rRNA from 1 species